rnacentral:rRNA from 1 species
ACGCACGCUGGCGGCGUGCUUCACCCAUGCAAGUCGCACGGAAAGGCCCUGCUUUUGUGGGGUGCUCGAGUGGCGAACGGGUGAGUAACACGUGAGUAACCUGCCCUUGACUUUGGGAUAACUUCAGGAAACUGGGGCUAAUACCGGAUAGGAGCUCCUGCUGCAUGGUGGGGGUUGGAAAGUUUCGGCGGUUGGGGAUGGACUCGCGGCUUAUCAGCUUGUUGGUGGGGUAGUGGCUUACCAAGGCUUUGACGGGUAGCCGGCCUGAGAGGGUGACCGGCCACAUUGGGACUGAGAUACGGCCCAGACUCCUACGGGAGGCAGCAGUGGGGAAUAUUGCACAAUGGGCGGAAGCCUGAUGCAGCAACGCCGCGUGCGGGAUGACGGCCUUCGGGUUGUAAACCGCUUUCGCCUGUGACGAAGCGUGAGUGACGGUAAUGGGUAAAGAAGCACCGGCUAACUACGU